rnacentral:siRNA from 1 species
UGGCUUGAACCAGACCUGAUUGA